AGAAACUUAGGAUUAAUUUAAACCCACAGCCUUCAAAGCUGUUAAAAAGAGACAACCUCUUAGUUCCU
rnacentral:tRNA from 1 species